rnacentral:rRNA from 1 species
UACGUAGGUGGCGAGCGUUAUCCGGAAUUACUGGGUGUAAAGGGCGAGUAGGCGGAUUGAUAAGUCAGUAGUGAAAAACCAUGGCUCAACUGUGGGACUGCUAUUGAAACUGUUGAUCUUGAGUGAUGGAGAGGCAGGCGGAAUUCCCAGUGUAGCGGUGAAAUGCGUAGAGAUUGGGAGGAACACCAGUGGCGAAGGCGGCCUGCUGGACAUUAACUGACGCUGAGGAGCGAGAGCGUGGGGAGCAAAC